rnacentral:other from 1 species
UAAAAUCUGCAGUGUUCGUUAUUCUUAUAUAAUUCAACCGACAUAUUAUAUAUGGGAGCCUGAAGGUUUGAAUUUUGAUAACAAGCCUAGAAAGCUAGGUAGUUAGAGACUUUCAACAGGGCACCCACCUGCAUCUGUGCGGGUGUGAAUUAAUAAAGAAGACGGCACUGCGGAUUUUGU